rnacentral:lncRNA from 1 species
UGCGGUUCGGCGGCGCUUUGGAGAGAAACGGGGGCGGGCCGGGCUGGGCUGGACCUGGGUUCGAGUCCCGGCUGGGGUGGCUGCGGCAUUGCAAGGUCAGGAGUUCGAGUCCCGUUCGAGGCGCCUCGUCCCGGUGUCUCUCCUGUGCCGCCACGGCCAAAUUUCUGCCUUGCCCAUGAGUGACUUGGUUUUACAGUGGACCAGGCAGGAGAGGAUCCUUCUAAUGUCUCCUCACUUUGGGAUGAGCCUCUCCCAGCCCCACUGGCAGCACUGGAGCUGCGCUGGGCUGGUACUGGGAUGGGAAUGUGUGGGAGAAGCCUGGAAGGCUGGGCUGUGUGGGAUUCGUGAGCAGCUCAUGUAUCUUGACCUGAUGGUCUGAGGAUAUCAGAGCACUCACAGCAGGUAAAGAGCCCCUCCUGCCUUGCCCAGGUGUCUCAAGUCAGUGAGAGUUUAGCAGAAGUUAAAGUGAAAUUUUCAUUGUCCAAAGCUCUUCUCUAAGUUUUUACACAGAGAACAAGAUAUAGAGGAAGCUCCAGCCCUCAGUGCAAGGAGCAGCUCUGAAAGACAACAGGUGUCAAAUCCAGAAUUCAACUGACCCGUAACAAAAACACCAAAUUCCAGUUUUAGUAAAAUCUAGAUGCCCAGAAGCAUCAUUUAUUGCAAAUCAGUUAACAAAAAAAAAUACAUCAUUUUUGCAAACUACAACUUUGCAUGUAGAUAACUUUAUUACAGAAGAUAUCUUUUCUUAAACUACACUCUAGUUUAUAAAACAUAGGAAGAUUCAACACCACGUGAUGUUUUUAUCACUCAUAUUAGGUGUGUCACAAUAACAAUGGUCUGAAAUGUUAACUAAGAUGAGUGCUCAGCAAGGCACUGUGCCUUGAGAAAUAUCCAUUUUAUUUGGUGUUCUAAUAGAAAGGAAUGAGGAAAAGGAACCCUUUUCUUAGGUUUUCUUGAUUAACUGCUCUCUAUCUGCCUGUCCCAUACACAUUAUCUAGUCUUAGGGUGUCUGCUUGCUUUUGCACCCGAGUGAGUGAUAUUCCAACACCUCUAUAAGGUGAUAUAUUUAUGAUAUAUUUAAGACUUGCUCAUUUAGAUUUUUGAAACAAAAUCCACCUUUUCUUGAAAAAAACAAAACAAAACAAAAAACCAAACCAAAAAAACCCCAUAUUUACAAACAUUAAAUCUGCCACAGGCUUAUACUAUAUUUUACAUGAUACACAGAAAGAGUGCACAUCAAUAUAAAAAAAGAUGCAUCACUCCAGGCUAACGUCACAGAACAAAAUGUCAACGUUUCACAGCACAGCUGUGCUGGCCCCUUGCCCUCCAGUUUGGCCAGUCCAGCCUCCCACCAAAACCAGCAGCACAUCCCACUGGGCACCCAGUGAGGGCUCUGCCAGAGGAGCUGGGGCCGGGUGAGCACGUGGGGGUGGCAGUGUGAUAAUGCUUUGUAAUCUCACUCAGGGUGUCUGCACUGCCAGACACACCUUCUUUUAAAAAAUAGGCAGGCCAUCCUUAAAAUAAGGAUGUGGUUUACAAAGUUUAUAUUGGCAUUUAUUUCUUAAAACGGUUACUCAAAGGCAAACAUGAAAACAAAACAAAAAAAAAAUCAGUAAAGAUAUUCAAAGUAAAAUUAAGUCUCCUUUGUGUAUAUACUCCAUACUUAUGGGCUUGCUCUCUUGGAAGUUUGGCAAAUACAUUUCUUUUUGAUGGGGGACAGUAUUCAUGUUUUGUAGGGUGUUUUUUUUUUAGCUUAGAAACUGUUCUUACAGGUCUAUAAUCCUGAUUUUCUUUUUCUUUUUUUUUUUUUUUUAGAUCAUAAAAAUCAUUUAAAUAUAUAUAUUUUUAUAUAUAUAUAAAAACAAGAGAGAACAAAAAUUUCUAUUAUCAAGGCAAAUGUACAACUAUAUAAUACUGAAAUUUAAACAAAGAUUCAUGACUGGUACCAUAAAAUGUCCUCUCAUAUAAUUGCAAAGGAAACAUUUUAAAGUACAUUUAAAAAAUGUGUCCAUAUUAAUUUUUUUCCCCUUAAGGAGUGGUAUUUUUAGUCAAUUUUUACUUCCCCUCUUCUUUCUCACCUCUCUUUCUGAGUUGAAAGAGAAAAAAAAUAAAUUAAUGGCAUUUCAGAAUCA